UUUGAAUGAUUUACUUAAGUUAAGACUUUAUGUUAUUCUGUUUGAUCCAUUUUAUCAUUUCAGUUUUACAAAGGCCCAAUAAGAUAAAUGUCCAUAUCUAGUUUACAAAGAACAAAUCACUAUUCUCGGUUUAGGGCAAGGAUAGGGGUUAGGAUUCUCAUGUUUUUGUUAGUGAUUAGGUUUAGAGAUUUCUUUUAAGGUUUAUUCUAAUUAUAGUUUUGAGGUCUUUUUAAAGAAACUAUAACACACAUUAAGACAAAAUUAUAUGUUAAUCACAAAACACAUGAUGUAGUUCCCUUUCCACAUUAUCUUUCUUGUGAAAGGGUUAGCAUAUGUAGUGUUUAGUUUGAGGGUUAGAGUAUAUUGGUGUAGUUAAAGUGUUUAGUGGUUUAUAUAUUUAGAAAUUGAUGUCUAAACUUAGAUUUAUAUUUUAGAAUCAUGAUUAUAAUUUUUUACAAAUUUUAGAUAAUUUUAAAAAUAUUUAUAAAUAACCAGAAACAUAAUUUCUCUUCUUUAUUUAAUAGCCAUCGAUUGAUAUCUCAGAUCAAAGGCCCAUAAUCCACCAUCCAUCAGCUAUCCUCGUUCUCUCUUCCUAUUGGUUGAUUAUUUUAAGGCAAGGAUCAUAAUCUUGUCCGUUCGUAAAUGUUAAUCUAACGGUUCAGAAUUGUUUUUUCUUUUAUCUCCUUCCUUCUCUCUCAGAACAUACGCCCACCGCAAACUAGGUUAGAGAGUUAUCUCAAACCACCACAAAUCUCUUUGUGACACCACGAGCCCACCUCGACCCACCACUAAUCACUGUCUACCCAUCACGAUUCCAUCUCAAACAACCAUGAUUCUCUCUUAAGCGACCUCGAUUUCUCUCUCUGGGUUUCCAUCGAACUCAUCCAUAUCAAAAGAUCCUUAUAGAUUCGAACCCUCACAGAUCUGGGUUGGGAACUUCUUCAAAGUCUAGAAACUCUAAUGGAAGGAAGGAAGAGCAUCGUAUGUGCACUGCCGGCAUCUGGAGUGAGACCACAACUACUCCAAAAACAAAAACCACAACAAGAAGCACUCAACAGAGAGCAAGAACGAGGACAGUCCUCGGGAGGAAAUGAUGUGGAGGAGAUAACCAGAACAGAGUUCAGAACCUCUCUUGGCUACUUGACACGCAUUGAGGAACCUGAAGAAGACAUCGACCCAAUGUUCAGAAACUCAUCUCUUUUCAGACGCCCACCACAAGCACAAGGACAGUCCUCGCGAACCAAGUCUGGCCGUCAUUACUAAUUGUUGUUUAUGUAUGUUGUUUAUGUCUGUUGUUUAUGUAUGUGUUUUUUUGCUAUAUGAUGAAUCAAUUGUCAGCACAUUAUAGUGCUUUUUGCAUA